CGAAGGAUUAUUACGGACGGCCUUUGGGCCAUCGGUAAAGUUGAUAUACUAAAGGAUUUACCGACGGUCAUGUGAGAUGGUGAUUACCGAGGGUUUAUGCCCGUUGGUAAUGAGCAGCGAAUUUACCAAAGGCUUUUGCCCAUCAGUAUAGGCAUGCACUUAAUGAAAUCAGAAUUUAGAAUUCCCCUCUUCCAUUUUCCCCAAUUCUCUCCUCACAAAAGCUUCCCCACACCUUUCACUCCCAAUUUCUCUCCACUCUCCCCCGCCCUAAUCUUUGUCUCCGUCUUUCUCAAGCCAUCGUUUCUCACAUUCUCAAGCUUCUCUUUGUUUACGACGGUGGUUUGGCGGCGUGAGGAGGUGUUGUCACUGCGUUAGGGGGUAGUGUCGUGUCGUGGGUAGAGCUUCUAGCUGGUGAGAGAGGCUAAUUCAGGACUGUGUGAGGAAGUGGCUUUCGCUGCAUGAGAAGGGCUUCACGAGAGAGGGUAUUGGAGGUGUUAAUACACCUAGGGUUGUCGUUGCCGUAGAGGUAAGUUAUUUCAGAGUGAACAAACAAAUCCUAUUAGAUGGGAAAAUUAUUCUUCAUUGUAUGGAACACCAAGGCAUAUUAUAGUAAACAUUGGUUCAGAUAUUGGUUCAUUCGACUUAUUCUGUUUAGUUGUGCAUAUUGUGGAAUUUGUAGUUAAACACUAACAUUUUAAC
rnacentral:lncRNA from 1 species